rnacentral:lncRNA from 1 species
UGUAAUCUAGGUAAAAAAGAACUGACAUGUGCCCUGAACCGAGAUUGUGAUUUUAUAUUUUAUUUCCUUAUUUCUGGGAUUCUUAGGAUUUAGGUAAUAUGUUCAUCUCUUUAAGAACCUUUGCUGUUUAGUUUCUCUGUUUAAACUACAGGGUUUCCAGAUAUAAAUAGAACAUUAGUUGGCCUUUUUGAUGAAUCUAUUACUUUAAAGGAUUUCCUUGGCCUUUUGAACGUUCAAGUGUGUGGUUGUGAGUUCUGCUCAUGUUGCAAAUUUAGAAUUAUGUAGAUAAGGGUUAUUCUUCUUUCAACUGCAUCACUGACAGACGCAGUGAAAUGUUGAGAAAUUCAUGAACUGGCCUAGCCUUUUGGUUGCAUGGACAUCCCACCCAGAGCAUGGAAAGGUAAAGAUAGUGAAGUCUACAAUGUAGGGGAGAUACUUGUGAUGGUGGAAAGAGUGAGAAUCGUUUUAUUCUUGUGCGUGCCUUCCACCAUGUGUUUGCGAGUUCUGCUCGUGCUGUAAAUUCAGUAUAAUAUAGCCUCCUGUUUGCCCCCAUUUGCCACUAUGUCAGGAUGUUUACUGACAAAAAAUUAUAACAUAAACUAUAGAUGGAAAAUACUUUAGAAGUAAAAGAGAAGUUGACUGAAGGUCCAAAAAAAAGAAAAAGGAAAUUAAACGCUUAUCCGAUCUUCGACUUUGCUUCUAUAUUGCUUCAAUGAAGGAUGAUCGUAUGAAGUUCUCAUCAAAUUAAAGAUUCACUUAAUUUUUACUUGAGCUCAAAGUUAUGUUACCUUUAAUUUCCCGUAAAUUAGCCACACUUUUUUCAUAUAGGAAUUCACCUCACCCUAGGUGCAGAGUUUGAGUGACUAGGGAACGGAUCUAUACUUGCAGGAAUGCUGCCUGACUUACUAAAUGUUUAUAAUUGCCUCUCAUUUACACUUUCCCAGAUGAACAAUCGUAUCAAGUUCCCUGAAUAUUACAUUAGAGUUACCAAGAGAAGAAAACAUGCCAUUGGUGCAGAGAAGGCGAAGCUGAUUACCUCUUUGUCAUUUCAUUUGGUGCGCGGGUGAGCCUCGGUUUCUUUCCUCCCUAUCUCAAUCUAUGUACCAUAGGCUUAUGUUGUCCCUCUAGUAAAUAAAAUUCCAAAGGGAACACCUGGGGUAUAACUUCUUUCGCAAUUCUGUUGAGAUUGAAAUCAUGGAGCUCCAUUGCAUUAUUUUUUUUUGGAUGUUGGCUCUAUUAAGAUGUAGAACUGGUUCCUGAUUGGAAAGGGCAAAGGUCUGAUGACAUCUUUCAACAAAGACCUUCAGUUCAAUAUUUUUUGAGUAAUUUAGAUUACCCCAUUAUGAGUGGUUGAUAUUUUCUUUUAACAAGCACCUGAUCACACUUGAUUUCUAACCGUUUACAGUGACAGAGGGCCUUAAUUAUCUGUUGUUUUCUAUGAAUGUAAUUGAACCCCUGACUUUAAAAAGAAGUAAAGCUUAAAGGUUCUUGACGAUGUCUGUCUGACUACAUUUUUCUGACUGAAGACUUUUCUAAAUUCGUUCUAGUUUUCCGUAUUAUUUCCUGAGAAUGAGAUGCUUUUGGGGUUUCUGACAGAGGGGACAAGGAAUAUCUCUAUGUCGAUGGGGCCGGCAUCAAAACUGGCGAUUGCUUUCAGUUUUACUAUGUGGAUCCUGCUGCUGCACUUGCCUCAUGUAAUGACGUCACUGCUAAUCUAAGAAGUUUGAACCUGGGGUGCAGUUCCAAGAGCUCUUAUCAGGCGGCGGGCACCGCCAGUAAUGCGGGUAAAUCUGAAGUAUUCGGAGGCUUACUGUUUGUUUGCUGUGGACGCGGACCAUUUUUCUUCGGGCGCCCCUACGUUGAUAUCUUGCCAUUCAUGGAGAACUUUCCUGGAGCUCCAUUGGCUGGAAUAUAUUGUGGCGGGGAGAUCGGCCGCUGCUCAAUGAGGCCAGAAGAGCAAGGUAGCCAAGGAGAGAGCUCUACCCGUUGUUGUUGCCAUGUAUAUAGCACCGUUUAUCUCGUGAUGUCAUAUACCCCAGCACUUCCAGGGGCCACCACCCUUAGGGGCUAGAGCGUGACCAGGGUUUUAUAUGCACCUGCAUUCAUGGAUCUUGUGCUGAACUCUGGUUUUGUGCAUUAUGUAUUGUAUGAACGUGAUGGAACAGGUGUUAUAUAGCCGACAGUCAAUGAAGGUGUCUUUUUAACUUUGCCACUCUUUUGCCUUUUGCUAUAAUCGAAUGGAUAGAGACACUUUUCACAACGAACGCCAAAUGGUUUUAGCAGCAGGCAAAGAACCUACUCACAGGGAAGAGGAUCGCAUUGGAUCUUAUCAUCCGGUGGCAAGAACAGGCUCAGCCAACUUUCUUAGGCUUCAUUCGACUUGCAUUAGCAUAUGUUUUGAGAAUGGAAAUGACCCGGAAAACAUUCGCGAUUCGCAAUAAGCAGAAACCAACAUCCGACCCCGUUACAUAACCAAAAUAUGAAAUUGCUUAAGAGCGCAAAACAGCGCAUACUCGGGCGCAUCACGAGUCAAGGAGAGUACAACUGUACAAGCAGGCAACCCGACUACAGUGCACGCUACAGGAUCUUGCGGGAGAGGAGCUUCAGCCAGUGUAGAUGUGGACUCCGAUGGCGAUGAGGAAGAUGGUGAUGAGGCCGAAGUAGAUGAUGGUAUGGACGAAGAUGGAGGCACCGCUGGUCUCCAUGUUGCCGAACUCCACGAAUCGGUGCCGCCCCGGGAUCUGGAACAGCAAGCCCGGGCUCAACAGUACGAACAGCAACACCGCUAUCACCACCGGCCCCCAGUCCUCCAUUCUUCUCUUCCUCCUCCUCCUUCUCCUUGUGAACUUUUCUUGAAUUUGAAUCGACUUCUGCACGAAAGGCGAGUGGCUCAUUCUUGAAUUUAAAGACGGGGACGGUGACGGUGACGUUUAGAGAUGGGGAGGUUUCUCCGGAGCGGGAGCUGUUUGUCGGACUACAAGCACGUGCUCGGUGCUUCCGAGGUAAGAACAUAGAAAGUGAACACCAACUCGACCAUUUCUGGGCUUGGCCCGAUUCGUCACUGCGCUCUCAAACCAGCCAUUUCCCUGUUCGGCCCACCCUCGAAUUCCACCAUUCAUGCUCCACUAAGGCUGGGUUUGGUGAUCCAACUUAAGUCCAGACUAUCCUAUUCGAUAUUUGUUGACGUUCUUUGGACCCGAUAAAUUGGGAUGCAUGCAAACAAGAAAUUUGGCAUAGAGAUGGGAUAAACUCAAAUUGAAUGUAUUACUUACCUUUACCCAAAAAAAAACUCAAAUUGAAUGUAAAAUUUUAAAAAAUUUCUCACUGGCAACACCCAACUACCACACCGGCGGUCAUUCACCAUGACGAUCUCUUGCUCUGGCUUCCUCAAGUAUUCUCGCCAAUGCCAUUGUUCACCUCAUUCGUGGCUCGCUCUCUUUCUCAGUUGGUUUUCCAGCUUUUCCACCAUCACCAAAUUAUGUCUUGGUUCCUUUCUCUACUUCACCUUUAAUUAGUCAUUCUCGGCCUCCAUUGUUCCAUGAUCUCUCUUGGUUGACUCUGAACUAGGUGCUCAUCAAGUAUUUGAUGAAAUGCUAGAGAGAGGUCCUUCUUGCCUAUAGUCUAGAAUUGUCAAGCUCACAAGAUGAAUUUUCUAGAGUCUGCUUAUCAACGGUAGUGGUCAAGAAAAUUUGAGUCGUUAUGUAUACAAGGAUCUCAUAGGAGAAGGGAUUUUCAUAAUGAAAGUAUUUUAAAAGAUUCUCAAUCUUUAACUUCCAGAUUUUUAAAUAUUUCAAAUUGUGUUUUAAAUCACGCUAAACAUUUGAUUGAAUAUUUCUACAAUCCAAAGAUAUUUGACGGAUUAUUAAUACCCAUUUAUCCUAUCCUAUUCUAUGUCCUUCAAAAUUCGGACAACUAAAUGCAGUUUAGGAGGUUAUUGACAGUGGCAACUUGUAGGGGGGACAUUCAACCCGAGAAACAUUCAAUGCCGACAAAAAUCCGUUGCCUAUAUAAAGUGAUCUCGGUGAAUCGGCUAAAUCUGCAUCGUUCUAACAUCUUUAACCGCGCCGCAGAGAAGCUGAGAAUGUCGGCGAGAAUUUGCCAGCACGAAAUCAGAGAGAAACCACCGUCUCAUUGUCGGCACUGGGCAGGCCCAUCUGGAUGCGGCCAUCGACACUUGGGUCCAGUCCCCUUCUAUCGGACCCGAGUCUAUCGAAUUCGGGCUCAGGACCUUGGCUCUCGGACUCAAGCCCAUUGAGGCCAAGCCUCGACCCUUGACACCUAGGCCUAGCAUCAAUGGACUAGGGCGCAAGCAUAGGGACUUGAGCACAAGCACAUGAGUCUUAGGCCUAGCUUCAAUAGACCUAAGCUUAGAAUUCAGGGAUUUGACCAUGGACGUAAGGGUUUGGAGCCCAGCCUUGAUGGACCCAUGCACAGCCUCGAUGGACUCAGGCCCGGGUGCUAAAGACCCAUCUAUUUCCACUGCCAAGGGCUAGGGAAUGAGCGUUAGGUUUCCACGCCCAAAUACAGGAUUUUUAGUUCAAACGUCAAUACCUAGUCAUAUUUUGAAAAAUGAUUUUCAAUUUUUAAAAAAGAAAGUUGUUUUCGUAAACUUAAAUAUUAAUAGGAAAAUCUUUUCCAUUAACUCAUUUUUUUUUAGGCGGGCUCUAUUCCUUCUCAAGUUGAUUCCACUAAUUAAGAUUCUUCCGACCUGUCCAUGUGGGAUAAAAGAAUAAAUAGGACCUCCAACAGGAUCGAGGAACUCUUUUAGUAAUGUCAGUAUCAUUAAGGCAUGAUUCUUGACUUGACAUUAAAGGUUCUCAACAUAAUUAUUUUAAAAAUUCUAUCAAGUAUAUAACUAUCAAUAUAGUCAUAAAUCUUUUAAUUAUGUCAAUUUAAUUCUAAAUAUUUUAACAAUUUAUCAAUUUAGUCAUAAACAUUUUAUUUGUAUUAAUCAAGUCUUAAACUUUUGAAAAUUUAUCAAUUUAAUUAUAAACCUUUUAACAACUUAUUAAUAUAGUAUUUCUAACUAAUUUCAGUUGGAAAUCGCUAAUAUAGAUAUCCAUCACGCUAACGUGGCACGACAAAUGUUGACGUGGACAAUCUUUACAUGUUAAUUUUUUUUUUUCCCUUUAUUUCCCUUUGACCUGUGGUUGUGACUUGACCAUGGCCUACGACCAUCCACAAGUGGGGGCUCGACCCUUGUGGCUUGUGAAGGCCAGUGAGGCCAACUCUUGCCUGUAGGCAAAGAAAAGAAAAAACAAGUUUUCAAAAAUACUAAACUUGUUCAUAUCAAUGUCAGCAAUGCCACGUAGAAUGAUAAACAUUCAAAUUAGUAAUCUGUCGUCAAAAUUGGUAGAAGAACUAAAUUGUCAAGUUGUCAAAAAAUUUAUGACUAAAUUUGCAUAAUUGAAAUAUUUAAAACUAAAUUGAUCGUUGUACAAUAGAUUUAUGACUUUUUGGAUAAUUUUUCUCAAAGGUUUUAUGAUGUCUAAAAGUCCUCUAAAUGAUCCUAUGGGCGUGAUAUGGACAUGUUCACACACAAAAAUGACCAUUCCUUGCAAUUGGUAUGGCUUCGCAAUCGGUAUGGCUUCGAUUUGAAUGAAUAUAGAGCUUGCUGUUCAGUUGGAUUUGGUUGUCGGUAAGUUAUCAAUAAUGGAUACACUUGUCAAUACUAUGUUUAUGUAUCGAUCAUGAAAUAGAGCUACGACGCACCUUGGUGAAUGGUCGCCAAACAAAUUCCUUUUGAUUUUGUGCACCUCAGUCUUCGCUGUCCAUCCUGCUUUUUAAAAGUGUUGUGGUUCCCCUUUUUCUUCUUUUGUCAUUUUUCGGUCGUUAGGGGCACGAGUGUUGGCGGGCCGAGCUUCUGCAUGUGCCGAGAGAAGUUGAGAGGGAAAAAGGACUCAAAGUGCGAGAUUUUCAUGGAACUAUUCUCAAUUAUUUUAAAAGUUAAAUUAUUACAUGUAUUAGACAAAAAUGAACAAUUCUAAUCAUGCAUUGAACAACAAAUUUCAAGCAUCAAUUAAAAUCAUAUGCGGAGAUAGAAAAAAAAUUGACCUCUAGCCAUUAUUUGAAUUUGUGUUUGUCAGAAAAUUAUGAAAAUUCAGGUGGUGUUAAAAUGAUUUUGGCUGAGUGCUGGAUGCAAGGAAAUAAAGUAAGGAGAUAAAGUUGAAACAUCCAAGACAAAAAUACCGAACCCAAUUGCAUGUAAGGAGUUGUAGCCCGCUCGUGGAGAAGGUCGAUGUGCGAUCAAGUGCAACUAUUGCAAAAGGAUGCACGAUCAUUGAUAUAAGUUCCUAUUGAAUUUGCAAUUUAUCAAUACAUUUUCAGUUUCCAAUACUUGCAUUUCUUUCUUUAAACUCAUUCCAUAUUCAAUUCCCGUUCGAAUUGCCACUCAACCCGCUAAAUAAAAAGAAAAAUCAAUCUUUGAUGAAAGGUAUUUCGCUAAUUAGGACAGAUGUCCUUUUCUGGGAAACAAGAUGUAAAGGUCAUCAGGGCCUUGGGCGGUAAGACAGAACCUGGCAUGGGGGACUUGGGGACCACAGAAAUAAGUCAACAUCAGAGUUAGCUUGUGCUGGCCCAUUUCCACAUUGCUUUUGACUAAUCAGCGGAAUCUACGGAGGGAGGGGAGUGAUGCAUGAGAAUCGUUAGGAUCCCCCGACGCCUGCUUCGUGACCUUCUUAUAUGGGCGUUUCUUCCUCCCUUUUGGAUCGCAUCGUUUCUCUUUCGCUCUCCAUCCUCACUCCUUCCUCUGUUCUCAUCUCUCCAUUGAAAGUUCCUCUAAUUACUCGCGUCCGCCCAUCCGGUCCGACAAAGCAAAUGGGAUAUCUGGGGAUUCUCCUGACGCACGCUCACUGCCUCGCCGGGUACUUCUCCUCCUUCCUCUUCUUUGUCGUCUUCUUCUUCAACGUUAUAUUGAACGACUCGUGUAACUUAUCAAUCUUUGAUGGAAUUCGCGCAGGCCCGUGCUAAUGCUGCUCUAUCCUCUGUAAGAUACUGGAUUCUUUCUUCGCCCGAUGCUUAUUAUGUUGGGUCAAUCAAUUGAAUCAAGGCAGGGAAGAGAUUUGAGGUUGAUGAUUGGUGGUUGUGUUUUCUCUCUGGGCAGGUACGCCUCAGUGAUGGCCAUACAGAGCCCCUCCAAGAUAGACGAUAAGCAGUGGCUGGCUUACUGGAUCAUCUACUCCUUCAUCACCCUCGCGGAGGUGCACCUCCAGCCUCUUUUUGAGUGGUAAGUGGCGACCCACCCUUGUCUCCUCUCUUGUCGGUUUGAUGAUUGAAUCAUCGAGAUGACUAAUCGUCAUCCUCCUCUUCAUCUGUCAGGAUACCCAUAUGGUACGAUGUGAAGCUUAUCUUAGCAGCGUGGCUGGUUCUCCCUCAGUUCCAAGGCGCGGCUUUUCUGUACGAGAGACUCGUGCCGGAGCACAUCCUCAAGAGGCAACCCAAGUCCAAGAAGAAGUUCCUCGACUUCAUCAUCCCGAAGAUAUAUAUCACCCCCAAGAUUUAUAUAUAUAUAAGCUUUCGCUAACCGAAGUGUCUUUGCUAGGGGGAGCACAAGCGUAUUGAUUGGAGUAGAGAGUCUCUCGAAUUCUCGGCAAUUCUCUCUUACACAUCAGAGCAUGUUGUCGUGCUUUGAUGUCAUACGUCCUGUAUUGCUACUGAUCGAAAGGCUUUAAUACUACAGCUUCUUCAUUGAUUCCGCACAUUUUCUUCCUGUAAACUUGAAAUCACUGAGAAAGCUACAAUUUUGUUACUACACAAGAAUUUCAAAACCCCACGAACAAUUCGCAUGAAUAGAGCAGCAGGAUAUGAUUUGCUGCGCUUCGAACUUGACCACGCCUGAUCUUUGAACGGAAUUAGUUAGUUUCGUCUGUUCGCUUUGGCUGGAAAUGAUAACAGAAGGUACAAAUUAGGGAAAAUUCAAGAUGUGGAGAUGGUCUCCAUUGUGCGUGUCAAUCCUUGAAAAUAUUGCAUACCCUUUUGUGCUCUGAAUGAUUCACGCUUCGACGCCUGUCCAGCGGCAGGUCCACGUCUGCUCCUCUUCACUUUUCUCCCAGAUGAGACCAGACAGAGCACGGGCAAGCGUUCUCUCUCCUGUGUCUUACCUUCUCUCUCUUCCGACGACGACGCCACUCGACGCUCUCGGCGCACUCUAACCAACGCACUGAACCGCGCCGUCUAGCACUUCCUGCGACGGCCGUCGCUCCCUCCCGACGACGGCUUUUCUCUCUCUACUCGACGGUGUCAUCUCAGAUCUGCAUUCUCUCGGCACACUCCCGCGAUGUCUUCCUUCCGAAAUUGCGCUCUCUCCCGACCGCAAGACAGGUUCGAUUUUAUUUCCCGAGCCCUAAAUCUAGCUUUGUCAACUGACAUAAUCUGGUAAUUAGGGGUGAAUUUUGUUUUAGUUUUGACAUUUCCUGAGCCCUAAACUAUGGUUUGAUAGUUCAUUAACAAUAUUUGGAAAAAGUUAAGUCUCAGUUGCUAGGAUGGAAAUUUAAAAAGCGCAUUCACUUUUCUAUGACAGUUAGGAGUCACAAGGAUUGUAUUUGCAACCUAUGAUAAUUCAAAACAUGGCAAAUCCAGCUUAUAGUUGGUCCUCUUACAUUUUAACAGCUUAGCAGUGGCUGGAGGUCUCAGAAGUUCUUUUUACCAAAUGUGCAGGGUUUGCCAUUGAAAAGUUGUAGUUUAGACCCUAGACAUUAGAACAAUGAAUCUCAAUUAUCCAAUGCCAUUUUAUUUUUGUCCAUAUUGGUGAAAUGGAUGACUCCUCAAGUACUGAUCUUUAGGAUGUUACCAACUUCUUGCAUGUCUUCUAACAGUUCAAGUGUUUUGGCAGGAAGGAGAGUUAAAAGGGGCCGUUGUCCUGAUUUUUUGCUAACGAGCAGGUACUUACUUUGGCUAUCUUCUAGCGAAGAAAGCUUUUGAUGUACUGGAAAGGGUUAGUGUUUUUGACUUAAGAUCAUCUGCUCUUGCAACACUAAACAGCUCGUCGCUCUUGUAGUCCGUUUCUUUAAGUUGUGCAAUUAUUUCCUAGUCUCCACAUGCUUGCUGAUAUUGCAAUUCCUCAAAGGUUUGACGUCUUAAAAGCCCUGAUUACAAAUUGCAACUCUUCCUUUAUGGUUUCUGCACGAGAGCCUGCUUAAAUGAUAUAAGGGUGUCUUUUCUUUACAUGGAAGGAUGCAUAAUGUGACCUGAUUGCCUACAACUUGUGUAGGUUGCCAUCCUUCUAGAUAUUAUUAGAAAAGUGAGGCACUCCAAAACUACAGACAAAUUGUCGCAAGGAAAUGUUGAUAAAGUUUUCCAUGAGACACCACUUUGGUCUGCUGAAGUGCUUGAACUAGUGGAAUUAGUUUGGAAGCCUUCUAAGCGAGGCCCUCCAAGUCUUCUUGAACAAAGUGAUGCUGUAUAUAUGACUCCUUAUUAUUGAUUAUUUCCAUAUUGUCUCCUUGCUUGGAUGAUGGCCGCUCCUUAUUUCUUUUUAGGUUGUGACAUUUUUCAUGGUGUAGACUCUUCUGAAUGGGUUUAAAGGUCAUUGGUUUUCAUAAGACCAUUGAAUGCUCAAAGUGAAUAGGAAUAGCAAGCUGAAAAAGCCAAUUCAAAAAUAUCCAUCUAACUUUUGACAUGCGAAGUUGAAGGAAGUCUAUAUUUACAUGUGACGUGCAAUAACACAUUUCAAUUCCUUUUUUAGAUAAAGCAAACACAUUAGAAAUGAGUUCACGAUUGUGAAUUGUAAUUUUUUGUGGCAUUACUUGAGUUAGGCAGGAGGAGUCCUAAUCUCUACCUUGCUGCUAAAUUAGCUUUCUAAGAAUUCAACCCAGCUUGAGGCCUGAUGUCAAGUUACCUUUUUAUCAGUUUCUGACUUCUAUGGUUAUCACCUUAUCGGAUAUUGCUCGCUCUAGGCCUGAUAUGAGUUGCUUAUUUCAAGUGCCAAACUAGAUGCAGAGAAGUUCAGUGAUUUUUUUCACUUCAACCUUAUAUUUAGAUAUCCAGUAAGGCGGUAUCCAAUUGAAAUUCUUCACAGCAGUACAGCUGAAGCAGAUUACUUGGAUGCAGCUAUUGUUACUGCUCUUCAAAUACAUGUGCAGCAACCACGUGGUGAUAUUUUGAUUUUUCUUAUUAGUCAAGAGGAAAUUGAAGCAGCGGAAGAGCUUUUGAAGCAUAGGUAAGGGGUUUUGGCUCCAAAAUUGCCAAACUCAUUAUAUGCCCAAUAUAUGCUAAUUUGCCUACAGAUCUUCACGCAAAGAUAUUUGAACCCACGCCAGAAGGUGCUGGUAAGGUGGUCCUUGCGACAAAUAAUUUUAAGGUUGUAUUUUUAAUUGACUCGUGCAGAGCAUAAGUGGAUACAGAAUGUGGACAGGGCUCCCAACGUUUCACUAGGACAAAAUGUCCGGAUGAGGAUAAAGCAAUUCUCUUUGAUGAAUAAGUUCAAGAAGAAAGUUCUCAGAGUGAGUCCUUGAACAUUGUCUUGUUGGAUUUCAUUGCUGUUCUUAGUGCAAAGUUAAACUCGAAUCGUGUUUCCCGCAUUGUUAAUGUAGGUAGUAGCAGACAAUUUGCCUGAUGAGCAAGUGGAUCAUAUCAAAGAGAUGUUCCACGUGAUGGACACCGAUAAAAAUGGAGAUCCGACAUUUGAAGAGUUGAAACAUGGCCUGCACAAAUAUGGACAGCAAGUUGCUGAUCCUGAUGUGCAGAUGCUGUUGGAUGCAGUAAGAUCACCUAUUCAACAGCUUAGCACAUUUUGUUUUAGACAUGGUUUAUGUUUUCUUCCUCCAUGUUGACGCAUUGUAUGCUGUGAAGUGCAUCAUUUUGCUUAAAUUGCAAGGCAUUUGGAAGAUUAAGGACGGAUUACAUAAUACGGAAAUAUGUUUUUCAUCAGUUGGUCAAAGAUUUGAUCAUGAGGUUGUAUCACCAUUUCACAUAAUUGAUAGAACUUCUUGCAAAAUCAAGUGGGUUUCUGAUAAUUUGAUGAGUCAUGAUUUCUUGUAUUAGCAUCUAAAAAUAGAACUCCAUUUUAUAUGAGAACAGGCUGAUGAAGAUGGAAGCGGAACGCUGAACUGUCAGGAGUUUGUGACUAUGUCAGUCCACUUGAGAAGGAUUGGCAGCGAUGACCACCUUACUUGAUCUUUUGAAUUCUUUGACAAGAAUUGAAGCAGAUAUAUUGAAUUCGAUGAGUUGAAAGAAGCUUUGAUAGAUGACAAUCUUGGUCCAAACAACGAAAAAUUUAUUGAAGACAUCAUUUUCAAUGCUGAUCUAGAUAAGGUAAUACAUAACCAGAACAACCUGCAAUUUAGAAUCUGUGUAUAUCUUGUUCAUAUACGAAAUAGAUUGCUCAUUCUGUGGUGGAUGUAUUCCAGGACAGUCGAAUUAGUUAUGAUGAAUUCAAGGCCAUGAUGAAAACGUGCAUGGACUAGAAAAUGGCUUCGCACCAGUACUCGAGAGCGAUGUUGAACGCGCUUAGCCAGAAGAUGUUCAAAGACAAACCUUCUUCCCUCAGAGGCUAAAAGAUGUUCCAACCACGGCUUCUUAAUCUAAUCCAGAUGAACUGUGGAGAAACAAAAUUGAAGUCUCAUCAAAAGGGUAUUGGGAAGGAGGCAUCAUACAAAAUCAUUGCAUUGGUUUGCUACUGCAGGGACAUAAAUGCUGUGAAAAUUUUAAAGAAAUGGGGUAUAAAUAGUCAGAUUCCUUCUGCAUUUCAAUCCUUAUCAAAGCCUUUGAGUAAGGUCUUGUGACCAUACUUCUUGGGUGGAGCGUUUCCCAUGUUAGCCAUCUCCUUCUGCUACUUGCACUUCCCUUAUAACAUUAUGAAUUGUGUGGUUCAUAUGCUCAAUCUUCCUAAUUGUCUUGCUUUCCAUGUGAAUCCUUCCCUAUCAAAGUCAACGCACAUUACCUUGCUUAUUUCGUGGUUUACAUGGUCCUGAUCGUAUGGCAUGUGCCAUCUGAAAAAUCAUCAAGUUAUGCAGCAUGUCCAUGGUCUUCGGGUGCACUGAUCCUUCUUUUAUUGACAGUUUGGUGCAUGGUCAUUUGGGCAUCAAUUUACUUUUUGUUGCCUUCGUCUUCGUAAUGUUUGGAUCUUCUCAUUUGAAUGAGCAGGUGUUGGUGAAAUCAGAUUUCAUGUGGCAUUAUCAGAUGGGGUUUCAGGGGUAGGUCCAACAUACAAGGCCGUUUCUGUUAGGGCUCGUGAUGAUGUUACCUGGCUAACCGCUAAAAGAGAAGGACAAACAGAAGUUCUUGACGGGGAAAGCAUUCUCAAUGAAAUCUAAUGGCGAGGUAUGUUGUACAUGGAAGGUUGUGGGUGUCUCAUAACUUCACAAUCUUGAAUGGUAAUGUGAGUUUUCUUCUGCCUUUUAUCCAUAUAAUGAUUAAUACUUUACUGGGCGUAAAAUGGACUGUAAUCUAGGUAAAAAGGAACUGACAUGCACCCUGAACCGAGAUUGUGAUUUUAUAUUUUAUUUCCUUAUUUCUGGGAUUCUUAAGAUUUAGGUAAUAUGGUUCAUCUCUUUAAGAACCUUUGCUGUUUAGUUUCUCUGUUUAAACUACAGGGUUUCCAGAUAUAAAUAAAACAUUAGUUGGCCUUUUUUGAUGAAUCUGUUACUUUAAAGGAUUUCCUUGGCCUUUUGAACGUUCAAGUGUGUGGUUGUGAGUUCUGCUCAUGUUGCAAAUUUAGAAUUAUGUAGAUAAGGGUUAUUCUUCUUUCAACUGCAUCACCGACAGACGCAGUGAAAUGUUGAGAAAUUCAUGAACUGGCCUAGCCUUUUAGUUGCAUGGACAUCCCAGAGCAUGGAAAGGUAAAGAUAGUGAAGUCUACAUUGUAGGGGAGAUAAUUGUGAUGGUGGAAAGAGUGAGAGUCGUUUUAUUCUUGUGCGUGCCUUCCACCAUGUGUUUGUGAGUUCUGCUCGUGCUGUAAAUUCAGUAUAAUAUAGCCUCCUGUUUGCCCUCAUUUGCUACUAUGUCAGGAUGUUUACUGACAAAAAAUUAUAACAUAAACUAUAGAUGGAAAAUACUCUAGAAGUAAAAAAGAAGUUGACUGAAGG